rnacentral:lncRNA from 1 species
UGAUGGGACACUGAGCUGAGGAAUUCCAUGUGUGACUGACUGAACGACCCGACAUGGAAAUGGAGGGGGAACCUCUGCAUGAGUGACUGUCAGUACAUCAUUUCUGUUCCAGAGAGGCAAUGUAACAGUUUUUGCCCAAUGACAUUUGCCUCAGCUUGCAGAAUCAGAGGAACUGGAAGCGAGACGGAGAGAGAGAAAGAGAGAAGGAGCCAGAGAGAGAAAGCUUGGCCCUGUAGACCUACCCUGUCGACUUGCAUGUGACCCGUGUGCCACUCCAGGCUCUGCCCGAUGCCUGCCCUCCAUCCCUGCUCUUGUCCUGCUGCUGGUCUCAGCCUGCCCUGCGGUCACCGAGCUCCUGAGAAGCUCUCCGGCCGUGCCCACAGUGGUCUGCACAAGAAGGAACCCGGCCGGAGCCAUGGCACAGUUCACCGGCCCGCACGGGGCCCACUACGUCUCCAUUCCCACGUCCACCCUCUCGGGGUCGUCUGCACCCUCAGAGGACCUGCAGGGACAGUGACAGCAGCUGCACUCUCCAAUUUGCCGGAUGCAUGGGUGCUUGUCUUUGUCCUCUCUCCCCACCCCCACCUCAUCUCUCUUGCCCUCCCUACAGGAAGCCCUGGGCAGUGCUGUCUGAGGCAGGUGGCCGUGGAUCAAUUCCAGUCGUGUUCAAAGCAAAUAGCCCUGUUUUCUCAGUGUUUUCAGUGUAAAAGAAUAAAAGUUGUAAGACACGUGGUGUUUAAUCCAGCGGCCCCACACAGUCAUCACACAGGAAGUGGUAAGCAGUAUUUAGAAUGGGAUUCCAGGAAAGGAAGAGAUGUCAGCAGCCAUCCAAUCCCUUGGUAGGGUUGGGGAGUUGGGGCCAGGUGACCAAAGGUGCAAGCCCAGAAGCUCUACUUCUUGUGGAGAACCUCAGUAGUGAUUGCCUGGAUUUGGAGCUGCUGAACUGUCAUAUGGGCACGUGUCCCUGAGAUCUGGAUUUUCCAACCCCCAUUCCUAGGCCUGAGGUAUAUUCCUGGGAGGGAGGCUGGAGAGGGGAGAGAAAGAGAUUGUGUGAGCAGAUACGAGAGGGAGAUGAGAAAUUCAAACGGCAGUGGGGUCAUAUGAAGCAGCGAAAUCCUGUGAGCUUCCAGGGUAAACAGUCUGUGCAGCCCAGGGUGGGAGGGGGGCAGAUUUAACUUCUGCUCUGCCCUUAACUGGCAGUGUGACCAGGAAAAGCACUUUCCAGUUAUCACUUCAUUUCUCUCCUUUGCUUUACAGUGAAACUCCUAGAAGAGUUGUCCAUACCCACUGGUUCCCAUCUUUCUCCUCUGUGGGUUACUGCGGAAACGAAUCUUUUCAAAGUCAGCAGUGAGUUCCACACGGCUAAUCCAGUGGCCAUAUUCCUCAGUGCUCAUCUAACUGGACCUAUCAGUUGCAUUUAAUUCAGUGGUUGCCUCUCUCCACCUUGAAGCAUUUUCUUCCCUUGGCUUCUAGGGAAACCUUUUACUCUGGCUCUCCUUCCUCGCUGGUCCCUCCUUCUCAGUCUCUUUCGCUGGCAUCUUCCAUCUUCCUGCCCUCUAAACCUGGGGUGUCCCAGGGCCUCAUGCUCAGACCUCCUCUCUUUUUAACCCUUACUUUCAAGGCGACCUCAUGUAAUCCUGUUGGUUUUAAAGAUUAUCUAAGUACCAUCUAUGUGCUGCUGGCUCAGCAUUUUCUGCCUCCAGCACUGACUCUUCCCAACAGUUGUGCAACAGCUCUCAUAGGCACUUCCAACUUAACAGGCUAGAAUCGAGCUAGUGAUCUUCACCCAGAACCUUCUUCUCCCAUAGACUCUCUCAUCUUGGCUAAAGAUAAACUCCACCUUCUUGUCUCCUCAGACUCAAAACAAUUCACCUUGGUUAUGAGGGCACUAGUCCCAUUCAUGAGGGUUCUCCACCAUGAACUAAUCACCUCUUGAAAGCCCCAUUGGGGUUUAAGAUUUCACUAUGUGAAUUUUGGGGGGAAUGAAAAUAUCUAGUCCUUUGCAUUUACAUCAGUGAACCCUUAAAUUAGAGCUUCAGCUCACACCCUGUACUGAGCUCUUGACCCACAUGUGCUAUCCCACUGUUUCUCAAAAUCCUAUUGUAUCUCCCUUUGCAUUUCCCAAACGUCUCAGACUCAAUGGGCUAGGACCAACUCAAGAUUUCCCUCCCUCAGGGAACCCCUGCCCAGUUCACGUCCAAUUUUCUGUUUUUCAUUUUUGGUGUGCCCCGUUUCAGUGAAUGAUCCAUUCACUGGAUUAAGUCCAUUAAGUCAGAAAUCGAGUUUUCUUUGAGACUUCCCUCUUCUUCAUUAUGUCUAUGGAAUCCACCAUGAAUUCUUAUUGAUUUGAUUUCUGAAUACCCUCCUAGUGUGUCCUCUUCUGCCUGUCUUGGCUGCCAGCCCUCAAGCCUGCUAUCAUCAGGCUAGCCCAAAGCUACCCACUGGCCUCUCAGCUCUUCUGUGGCCUCCCCAAGUGGCUUCCCACACUGUAGUUAGAGCGAUCUUCCAAAAAAAAAGCAGAUGCCAUCAUGUGAGUCCCAACCUCUAACCCACCUCCUACUUACAACCCUUGAAUAGCUCGCUUUUCCUCCUGAGACCGAACCACGUUGCUUGACGUGGCCUACAAGGCCCGGGCAUGGUGUUUCUUGGCUAGCUCCCUGGUCACAUCAUGCACUUCUCUGUGCUUCAUUCUCUGCAGCUGCUGCCCUGACCUUCCUAGAGUUUUGCUCUAUCUUGCUGGAAGAUCUUUGCGUAAGUUUUUCCUUUUGCCUGGAAUGCUAAUCUCUUCCUUUGGUUGACCCCUGCUAAUCCCACAGAUGCCAGCUGAAGCAUCACUUCCCUGGGAAGCCUACCCACAUUCUAGUCCAGUGCUAGCUUUUUAAUUAUAUUCUGAAAUAAAAAUUUCUUUGUAGUACUCA